AUUGAACGCUGGCGGCAUGCUUUACACAUGCAAGUCGAACGGUAACAGGCCUUCGGGUGCUGACGAGUGGCGAACGGGUGAGUAAUGCAUCGGAACGUACCCAGAGGUGGGGGAUAACGCAGCGAAAGCUGUGCUAAUACCGCAUGUGAUCUGAGGAUGAAAGCGGGGGACCGAGCAGCAAUGUUUGGCCUCGCGCCUUUGGAGCGGCCGAUGUCGGAUUAGCUAGUUGGUGGGGUAAAGGCCUACCAAGGCGACGAUCCGUAGCUGGUCUGAGAGGACGACCAGCCACACUGGGACUGAGACACGGCCCAGACUCCUACGGGAGGCAGCAGUGGGGAAUUUUGGACAAAGGGCGCAAGCCUGAUCCAGCAACGCCGCGUGCGGGAAGAAGGCCUUCGGGUUGUAAACCGCUUUUGGCAGGAACGAAACGGUGUCCGCUAAUACCGGGCGCUAAUGACGGUACCUGCAGAAUAAGCACCGGCUAACUACGUG
rnacentral:rRNA from 1 species